CUCACAGACGCGGACAUUGUGUUUUCAUAUGAGGUCAUGUGAUGGGAAGCUUGAGCGUUCCAAUGUUGUGACUGAUGUGUGUGUGUGUGUCUGUCAGCAGGUUUCAUUCAGCCUCCUGCCGUGAACGGGAUCCCGCCGCAGCCUCCGUAUUACCCCCCCGCAGGCUUCCAGCCCUCCUAUCCCGCCCCCAUCCCGCCGCCGCAGCCUGUCCCUCCUCAGUAUCCGGUGGCUCCUGUAGCGCCAGUGCCCGUCCCCCCCCCGACUGCACAGUAUCCCAUCCCCCCCGCGAGCGUCCCGGCACAGACUCUUCCUCCCGCUCCGUUCCCUCCGGCUGCAUUGGCUCCACC